UGCCAGCAGCCGCGGUAAUACGUAGGUGGCAAGCGUUGUCCGGAAUUACUGGGUGUAAAGGGAGCGCAGGCGGGGAGACAAGUCCGCUGUGAAAACUAUGGGCUUAACCCAUAGACGGCAGUGGAAACUGUAUCUCUUGAGUGGAGUAGAGGCAGGCGGAAUUCCGAGUGUAGCGGUGAAAUGCGUAGAUAUUCGGAGGAACACCAGUGGCGAAGGCGGCCUGCUGGGCUCUAACUGACGCUGAGGCUCGAAAGUGUGGGGAGCAAACAGGAUCAGAUACCCUGGUAGUCCACACUGUAAACGAUGAUUGCUAGGUGUGGGGGGUCUAACCCCUUCCGUGCCGGAGCUAACGCAAUAAGCAAUCCACCUGGGGAGUACGGCCGCAAGGUUGAAACUCAAAGGAAUUGACGGGGGCCCGCACAAG
rnacentral:rRNA from 1 species